rnacentral:rRNA from 1 species
AGUGAACGCUGGCGGUAGGCCUAACACAUGCAAGUCGAACGGCAGCACAGUAAGAGCUUGCUCUUACGGGUGGCGAGUGGCGGACGGGUGAGGAAUACAUCGGAAUCUACUUUUUCGUGGGGGAUAACGUAGGGAAACUUACGCUAAUACCGCAUACGACCUACGGGUGAAAGCAGGGGAUCUUCGGACCUUGCGCGAUUGAAUGAGCCGAUGUCGGAUUAGCUAGUUGGCGGGGUAAAGGCCCACCAAGGCGACGAUCCGUAGCUGGUCUGAGAGGAUGAUCGGCCACACUGGAACUGAGACACGGUCCAGACUCCUACGGGAGGCAGCAGUGGGGAAUAUUGGACAAUGGGCGCAAGCCUGAUCCAGCCAUACCGCGUGGGUGAAGGAGGCCUUCGGGUUGUAAAGCCCUUUUGUUGGGAAAGAAAAGCAGCAGGUUAAUACCCCGCUGUUCUGACGGUACCCAAAGAAUAAGCACCGGCUAACUUCGUG